CUGCAUUUCUGUUCCCUGCAUUUUCAGAAGCAGGUGGGUAGAUUGGAAAGUAUUCAGAGCAUACUGCUGGGACCCCAUCACCCUUCCAUCAUAUGGGACUUAAUGAUCGGGAGAAAGAAAUGUUUCAGACAUCAGGAACAUUUCUCUGUUCCUCAGUUUUCUCAUACUGCCUGCACGCUCCCUUCCAAUUGAACCGGACCUCCACACCACAUGGAAGCUCAUCACUUGUGAAUGCCUCACAGCAUUUGAAUUUUCACAGCCAUUACAAGCAUAGAGUAUAAGCCUUUGCAUGAAGGACUGGGAUGCUUAGAUGAAUUGCUCAUCAGCUUGUGUUAGCUACUUGCAAGUUUGCAGAAAGUAGUUCCAAGUUUUAGAAACUUCUAAUUUAAGGAAAAGUCUACAAAAGAAGGAAAAAGAAAGCAAGGCUUAAGGAAGAGAAAGUGUUAAUACUUUGCAAAGACAAUGAACUUGAGAUUGGUGUAUACA